AUGACAAGUAAAACCUGGCGGCACGGGCUGGGUGGUGGGGCUGGGUGGGGGGGGGUGCGGGGGGAUGGGGGUAUGGGAGGAGGAGGGGAGAUGCUAAAAGUGAUCCUAAGUGUUUGCAUUUGUGUGUGCAGUGCAUGUGUGGAUGCUCGAAUCAGCUGCCUCACCUUUCUUCUCCAUCUACCCUCUCUCUUCGUCCUCUCUGAGGUUGCUGUUGUUCUGCUGUUUUUUGUCCUCCGGACUGGAAUAACCACGCUCUUUCUCUCUGUGGGAGGACCAUGUGAGGCUCUUCAACUCAUUUAAUGAGGAAUCGCCUUCGUAAAGUGAGCACCUACACAUUUUUGGCACGUCCAAGACCAAAGCUGCCCACCAGAACGUCUCAACUAUCCAAUUACUCCUUAAAGGACUCAGUUUGCAUUUAAACCACCAAAGAUGUUAAAUAAAAGUUCAAACCAUGCAACCUUCCUGUUUAUGAAAAAUCUGGCUGCAUUCUGUUGUUGUUGAUGAACCACAUAUUUUAACACUCCUAUGCAUGCAGCUUAUGUCCUUUUCUUCUUCACCGAACUUUUAAAGCAAAGUUCUAAAGGUUCAUGAAAAGACUUCCUUUAUUUCUUGUUCC
rnacentral:lncRNA from 1 species